rnacentral:tRNA from 1 species
GGGGCAGUAGUCUAGUGGUCAUCUCGCUCUCUCUUGUAUUGUUAUUCGUAUACCUAAAACCUAUAACCUCUUCAAAGAGAGAGAGGUCGGUGGUUCGAAUCCAUCCUGCUCCA